GUUUAUGUAGUUUAUUUAAAACAUUACACUUUCACUGUAAAAAUAUUAUUUUUAAUCAUAAAAA
rnacentral:tRNA from 1 species